rnacentral:rRNA from 1 species
AACGAACGCUGGCGGCAUGCCUAACACAUGCAAGUCGAACGCCCCGCAAGGGGAGUGGCGAACGGGUGAGUAACGCGUGGGAACCUACCCAGCAGUUGGGGAUAACCGCGGGAAACUGCGGCUAAUACCGACUACGUCCUAAGGGAGAAAGAUUUAUCGCUGUUGGAGGGGCCCGCGUCGGAUUAGCUAGUUGGUGAGGUAACGGCUCACCAAGGCGACGAUCCGUAGCUGGUCUGAGAGGAUGAUCAGCCACACUGGGACUUAGACACGGCCCAGACUCCUACGGGAGGCAGCAGUGGGGAAUAUUGGACAAUGGGGGCAACCCUGAUCCAGCAAUGCCGCGUGAGUGAUGAAGGCCUUAGGGUUGUAAAGCUCUUUUACCGGGGACGAUGAUGACGGUACCCGGAGAAUAAGCCCCGGCUAACUUCGUGCCAGCCGCCGCGGUAA